UUUUUUUUCUUUUUUCUUUUUUUUUUGGGUGGGGGUCUUCUUAGGGCUGCACUCAUGGCAUAGGGAGGUUCCCAGGCUAGGGGCCAAAUCAGAGUUACCGUUGCUGGCCUACACCACAGCCACAGCAACACGGGAUCCAAGCUGCGUCUGCGACCUACACCACAGCUCACGGCCAUGCCAGAUCCUUAACCCACUGAGUAACCCCAGGGAUCGAACCUGCGCCCUCAUGGAUGCUGGUCAGAUUCGUUUCUGCUGAACCACGACAGGAACUCCCCACACAGGUGAUUUAAACCACCUCCAAACAUCUGUCACUGGCUUCCUCUCUUGCUCUUUCUCUCUGUCUGUCUGUCUCCCUCUCCCCUCUCAGCCCCAGAGCAUGCCCGAGCUUCUUCCACACCUGUCCUCUCUCUAUUCUCUCUUAAUAAAUGCUUACUUGCUUCCCUACCCUCAGUCUCUUUGCCCAAUUCUUUCUCCAAAGGGACCAAGUACGGAGGACCUCAAGUCCCCAUCACGUGGUUAGAGUUCAGCAUUCUCACCCUACAGCCACCCGAGACCAUCAUGAGGCCACUGCACAUCACGGACAGAUGCCCCCCCCCACACCUCUGCAAAUUCCCCAGCCACCUGGCAAUGUCCCAAAGGACAGCAAAGAGCAGCGUCUCUUUUCUUUGGAGUCAGGAGACCCUCAUAAGGUUUAUUCCUCGAGGAAGUUUGCUAUGGUCACCAAGGAAUUCAGUCCCCAAAUAGUCAAUUCAGUUUAAAUACAUAGCAGUAAUAGAUGACAAUCCAUGUCACUUGCAUUCACAAGCCUCACUUCCCGAUGACGCUGGUAGCUCUGAAUCAGACCCAAACCCAAAUUCAAAUUACCAAGUUUCACAGAGUGUCUGAGGAUGAACAAACCUCUUACUAUCUUCUCCCCCUAUCAGUGGGGUUGCCCUUUCAACAGAGCCCCCUAGUGAGGGUCAAUACGAAAUAAGGAAAACAGGUUUCCAACUCAUGUGCCCAAGAUGCACCCCAAAGAUGCCUUGUAUUGGGGUCUUUCUUUCUUUUCUUUCUUUCUGCAGCAUAUGGAGGUUCCCAGGCUAGGGGUCUCAUCGGAGCUGUAGCUGCUGGCCUACACCACAGCUUACAGCAACUUGGGAUCUGAGCCACGUCUGUCACCUACACCACAGCUCACGACAACACCAGAUCAUCAACCCACUGACCAAGGCCAGGGAUCGAACCAGUGUCCUCAUGGAUGCUAGUCAGAUUCGUUUCCACUGAGCCACAAUGGGAAUUCCUGGGGUCUGUCUUUCUGUAAAAGUGACACUAUGCCAGGGUUGGUCCUCUAACACAAAGUCACCAAGGCAGCUGCUAAGACGGGUCAUCUGGACCCCGUUCCUGGCUUGCGGCUGGCAAGCAGGGAUUAGAAAAGCUAGCGUGCUAAACCUGCCACUCACUGUGCUGGAUUCCAUCCUAAUCUACUCAACGUGGCCACUAAUUCCAGCUCCCCUGCCUCUUGCCCAGGGUGUUCUCACUGGUGUCAGGGGCUGGCCCCCAUAUCAAACCUAGAAGAGGUAGCUGUGCAUUCACUUAAGGAAAGUGCCACAUUCCUGUUUUUUGUAGGGUUUUUUGUUUGCUUUGUUUGUUUUUUGCUUUUUAGGGCUGUCCCCACGGUAUAUGGAAGUUCCAGGCUAGGGGUCGAAUCAGAGCUGCAGCCGCCAGCCCACACCACAGCCACAGCAAUACAGAAUCCUUAACCCACUGAGCGAGGCCAGGGAUCAAACCCAUAUCCUCAUGGACCCUAGUUGAGUUCCUUACCAUUGAGCCACAAUGGAAACACCCACAUUACUACUUUUAAUGCAAACAUCUCUAUUUAAUAGUUUUUAUAUGGGUGAUGAGAAAUACAGCUCCUUUGGGGUAAUUUUUAAGAUUUUUAAAAAAGUUAUAUUGAAGUAUAGUUGAUUAAUCUCCUUGCUUUCUUUGUUUUGGUUUUGUUUUACUGGUUGUUUGUUUUCUAGUUUAACAAACACUAGCUACAAGCUUGCCUUAAGUGAUUUAAUCCUCAAAACUGCCCUAUUGAUAGGUACUGUUUCUACUACUCACACUUUCUAGAUGUAGAAACAUCCAUAGACCAAGUUAAUGGCAGAGUUGGGAUUUGAAGCCAAGGAGUUUCAAACUCCAGAGCCUGGUCUCUUAACCCCUAAUCUCCCCUCCUUUCAUUCUGCUAUCCUGCUUCUAGUUUAAGAGGUUCUUCUAUAAAUAGAUGGUGUAUUUAUGCACCUAUGGAGCAAUAGGCCAGGAUCAACCCUGAUUCGGGUCUGUGGAUCUGUAUAAUAUGCAGGCAUUCAACAAGCAAAAACAAACUUCAGAUAUCACUUAACGCAUUAAGAUGGAAAUUACGGUUACAUUGCUGCAUUUGUUGUUGUUUUGCUGCCUGGUGGCAUAUGGAGUUUCCAGGCCAAGGAUCAGAUCUGAGCCACAGCUGCGACCUACACCAUAGCUGGGGCAACCCUGAUCCUUUAGCUCACUCUGUGAGGGCCCGGGAUUGAACCUGUGUCCUGGCAGUGCAGACGCAAUCCUAUUGCACCACAGCAGGAACUCCUGCUUUUCUAACCCCUUUAAGGAAUUGUUUGGCCGAAUGGCUGCGUUUCAGUGCCCUGAAGCUCUAAGUUCUAGGUUCUCCUCUUCAACUACCCCACACUCUGAAAGAAUAUGGAAUGUACCAGUUGAGCUGCUGGUUACAUCAAAGGAACACAGAUCUGUUGAGGCCUGGCUCUGUGUCAGUCUUUGCACCACACAGGGCUCUAAUUCUAUUCUUCUUUGUACACACUCUUAGCUGGACCUACAGGGUUUAAUUUUUCUGUUCUUUUAGUUUAUAGACUCCCAUUGUUGUUGCUUUUAAUGGCUUAUCUUAUUAGUUUAAGUUUCACAUUUGGGGCAAAAAUAUCAGAAAAGUGAUGUUAUAUUCUUCUUGAUGUAGCCUAUCCAGAAGCACAUAAUGUUGAUCCCAUUAUUGGUGAGGUUGGUUUUGAUUAGUUGGUUAAGGUCAUCUUGUAUUUUGAAUACAGAAGACAAAGAUCUUUAGCUUUGGACAAAAAGCUUCAAAAAAUGUCACAGCUUAUAGCAAGUUAUUUUACACUUGCUUUAAUUGACAUAGGUCAUGUCACGCUCAAAGAAAACGUGAACCACAGUGAUUGGCUUGGUAACCAACAUGCAUCUCUUCCCUAGUAACAUUUUCUUUAACUGCUUCUAAGGUAUCAGAUGAGCAUUUAAAUUCUAAGUAAUUAAACAGAGGCAUCCUGGGAAUUCCCGUAGUGGCUCAGCAGGAAUGAAUCCGACUAGGAACCAUGAGGUUCCGGGUUCGAUCCCUGGCCUCGCUCAGUGGAUUAAGGAUCCGGCAUUACCAUCAGCUGUGAUGUAGGUCUCAGAUGUGCCUCAGAUCUGGUAUUGCUGUGACUGUGGUAUAGGCCCGAGGCUACCGCUCCUAUUCCACCCCUAGCCUGGGAACUUCCAUAUACCACGGUGUGGCCCUAAAUACACACACACACACACACACAAAAAAAAAAAUCCAGAGANGUAUCCUGUAUUUCUACUGGCCAAAAUUCUAUUCUACCCCACCUCCAAUCUUCAGGAGAACUCUACAGGUUGGCCAUUUUUCAGUGUUUCAAAUAUGCCCAGGUUGUAACUUUUUAUGCAACCAUCACACUUUGCCUUCAGAAUUACUACAAACUUUUGUCUAUUUCCUAUCUCCUCAUUCACUUGCAACCCACAGAUUCUGUUGUAUUUGCCAUGUUCUUUAGUUCCAUCUUUUGUGCCAUGGUAUUGGUGCUGCCAGAAUUCACCCAAAACGCCUCUUCAAUGCAACCUUGCUUAUCAAGGGAAGCAUGGAAGACAGGAGGCUGGGGCAUGAAACAACCAUUUCUUCAUUCAGCAAGUAACUUGCCCAAGAACAUAGAAUAGAUAGUCAGACUCAAAAGCAGUGCCCUUAACACUAUCUACCUUGAGGGAAUCCACCUCCCCAGCUCUGGCUGCGUAGCCCAGCUGGGGGCUUCUCCAUGAGAACUUGAUCCAGCCUUGAGAUACAGCCAAGAACAGAGUGCUCCAUGGUUUCUUUCUUCCUUCAAGUAGCUGCAAGGAAACUCAAGUUAGGUGGGGCAUCCUGCCAUUUUCAUCUAGAUGUAGGGUUAAUUCUCUCCAGCUUCAAAACAUGCCCAACCUGAAAAAUCUACUCCCUCCGUUUUGUCCUAAAGGUUUGUUCCCAUCAGCCACAACCACCUAUGCCAUCUUUCAAAGGUAGUAGAAGCGUAGGACUGGGGACAGAGGGAGGGUGAUAACUUGUUAGUUUCUUUUUUCUCUCAUUUCCCAGUGUCUUGCCUCUAAGAUGUCUUUCGGAGACUCCAGGAACUGGUGGAGACUCAUUUUGGACUUUGGGUCUGCAAACUGUAAAAACAAAAGAUGUUUCUGUUAUUUUAAACCACUAAAUUUGUGUUCAUCUGUUACAGCAGUAAUGGGAAACAAAUACAAGGCAAAUGUAAGACCAUCUGAAUAAAAGUUGGGGAGGGGAGCAGGGAAGGCAGAUCUCACAAAGUUUGAAGUCAUAUUUAUGAUCACCUCAUGGCAACAUCAGAAGAGAGAACUCUUUAAGAGCUGAGAAGCUAGAAAAUCUGUUCUGUCUCCUCCCACCCUCCUAUGAUUACAGGAUACCUCUCUUACUUAAAAACGAGCAACAGGGAGUUCCCGUUGUGCCUUAGCAGUAACGAACCUGACUAGUAUCCAUGAGGAUGCAGGUUUGAUCCCUGGCCUCGCUCAGUGGGUUAAGGAUCCAACAUUGCCGUGAGCCAUGGUGUAGCUCACAGACAUGGCUCAGAUCUAGCGUUGCUGUGGCUGUGGUGUAAGCUGGCAGCUACAGCUCCAAUUCGACCCCUAGCCUGGGAAUCUCCAUAUGCCACAGGUGCGGCCCUAAAAAGAAAAAAAAUGAGCAACAGGCAUUCUCUUGCGGUGCAGUGGGUUAAUGCUCCAGCAUUGUCACUGCAAUGGCUAGGGUCACUGCUGUGGCGCAGUUUUGAUCUCUGCCCUGGGAACUUCCACAUGCCAUUGGCAUGGCCAAAAAAAUUUAAAGAGAGAGCAUCAGAUCCAUCAACAGAUGACUGGAUAAACAAAAUGUAGUAUAUCCAUC
rnacentral:lncRNA from 1 species